rnacentral:rRNA from 1 species
CAUGCUACCGUGUACCCGGAAGGAAACUUUCGGGGAUCCGCAAGGAUGGUAGCACAAGGUGCUGCAUGGCUGUCGUCAGCUCGUUCCGUGAGGAGUGCCCUUAAGUGGGACAACGAGCGCAACCCCUAUCCUGUGUUAGAAAUGUCACAGGAGACAGCCCCGACGUUACGUCGGGGAGGAAGGAAGGGUAGACGUCAAGUCAGCAUGGUCCUUAUGCCCUGGGCGACACACAUGUUACAAUGGGAAGGACAAUGGGCUUUGCCACACCGCAAGGUGGAGCUAAUCCCCAAAUCUUCCCUCAGUGGGGAUUGAGGUCUGCAACUCGACCUCAUGAACGCGGAAUUGGUAGUAAUCGCGGAUCAGCCAUGCCGCGGUGAAUACGUUCUUGCCUCUUGCACACACCGCCCGUCAAGCCAACAAAGUCGGGGAUGGUUGAACUCCGCCUGUGGCGGGGGAAAUCAUUCCCGGCGAUGGGGGUUAAGUCGUAACAAGGUAAC